rnacentral:rRNA from 1 species
AACGAACGCUGGCGGCAUGCCUAACACAUGCAAGUCGAACGAGACCUUCGGGUCUAGUGGCGCACGGGUGCGUAACGCGUGGGAACCUGCCCUUAGGUUCGGAAUAACUCCCCGAAAGGGGUGCUAAUACCGGAUAAUGUCUUCGGACCAAAGAUUUAUCGCCUUUGGAUGGGCCCGCGUUGGAUUAGCUAGUUGGUAGGGUAAAAGCCUACCAAGGCGACGAUCCAUAGCUGGCCUGAGAGGAUGAUCAGCCACACUGGGACUGAGACACGGCCCAGACUCCUACGGGAGGCAGCAGUGGGGAAUAUUGGACAAUGGGCGAAAGCCUGAUCCAGCAAUGCCGCGUGAGUGAUGAAGGCCUUAGGGUUGUAAAGCUCUUUUACCCGGGAUGACAAUGACAGUACCGGGAGAAUAAGCUCCGGCUAACUCCGUG